GAGAGAAAGGGGAGUGGAGAGGUGGGGGUGGGUGAGAGGUAUAUAAGGAGUUUGACUAACUUUUUCUAAUUACAGCACUGUAUUAUAGUGAAUAUUGGAUAUAUUCAUUAAGAUGUAAUAUUAAUGUUUCAGCUUUCCUUUUUUGGGGAAAUGACAAAUCCACAGCCUUUUGUUUAGGUGCACUAACAAUUUGUUCCCUCUUUCCUUUCACUUAACUUUUUAGUCAUGUGAGGACUUUCAAGACGAGAAUAAUUCCAAUUAGUUAUAUCUUAGAAAUUUUUAAACUUAUGAUAUGUUCCAUGUUUGUUCACUUUCUUGGAAAUAAGUGCUACUUGAAUAAUUUUCCCAAGGCAUUGCAUCCUUAAAGAAUUAUGCAUAUGCCACUUACACCACCUUUUUCCUUGUGCAAAAGAGAAUUUUACUUUUAUUUGUGAAUUUUCAUUGUACUUUGUUAAAAGUGCUAAUGAACAAAAAAAAAAUAAAUUUCUCUUAGUUAACUCAAAAGUUAUUAGGUUAAUCCAUCUGAGCAUGCAUUGCACAUCAUUAAGAGCACAUAGUUUAGAAAAAGAAGUUAGAGGGUCACUAUAAUUGUUACAAAUGUUAAAGUUUGUGGCCAUUAUUUAUAAUUUUAAAAGAAGUGGCUAUAGUUGUGAAUUUAUGUACUGUUUUGGAUAUCUGUCAUUAGCCUGUUAAUGUUAUAAUGGCUUAGGCGGUGUUUGGUUUAUCUGUUGGGUCCAACUGAUAGCUGAUAG
rnacentral:misc_RNA from 1 species